ACAUCACACGAGCAGCCAAGGCAACUCUUAAGACUUAGUUUGGUAUUGAGGCCUAUCUAAUGCUAUUAGAUAAAAUGGAGUUGGAUAAAAGUAUAUAAGGAUAUACUUCUGCGUUCUCCAGUGAAACUGUAGAAAAUAUAUCAUAAAAAUAUAUCAUAACCGACUUAUCGUGAUAUGCAAUAUUACGUAUGAAAACAAACAGAGUAUUUUUUCAUCGUCUUUUCUCACCGCGCGUAAUGUAAUCUCUCCGCAAUUUCAAACGAAGCCUAAGUAAAAUAAUCUUAGAAUUUAGAAUGCAUUUUAUUCAAAAUAGCAACCAAAAUCUGAA
rnacentral:lncRNA from 1 species